GCUCCCAUGGCGUGGUUAUCUCGCGCUCGCCUUGCACGCGGGAGACCCGGGUUCAACUCCCGGCGAGGUCA
rfam:Asian citrus Psyllid, Diaphorina citri - Florida Strain, whole genome shotgun sequence.